rnacentral:lncRNA from 1 species
ACUCUAAUAUCUUCUCAUUAUGCUCUUCGACACAUAUUUGGACUGGGUCAAGUGAGCCAAAAGUGAUAGAGAUUUGAUGAAAAUUAGUCGUCUUAUCGUCGAAGAAGAUCUUAUUCUCUUUUGCCAGUUGCAUUACUUUAUCUUUCAAGACAAAACACUUUUCCAGAGGAUGACUUACGAGCCUAUGAUAUUUGCAGUAAUUAGGGUCAUUGAUCCUUCCAGCCUCAUUGGGACACUUCAUCUCUAGGAGUUCAAUGAGCUUAUGCUCAAGGAGUUCAUCGAAAAUCUCAGCAACAUCAGAAUCAAGGAAGGAAUAUUCUUUUUCUUGCAUCUCCUUUAAAGUUAUUUUAUUCGGACGUGCUCCAGAAUUCGUCUUCACACUUUGUUUCUUGCUCACCUUUGUGGUGACCUUCACAGGAGACACAUCAAUAUUCAUGGACUCCUUGUUGUCAUUUUUGGAGACAAACUUGCCCUAUCUUUUGGGUUCCUGAUUAUCCUUUCCCCUUCGAGGGUCAUGGAUAGGUGCUAAUCCCUUUUCAGCAAAAGACAUGCUCAACUCCAUAUCGUGAGCACGAGUAGCUAGCUCUUCAAAGGAUUUAGGCUUAAUGCCUUGCAAGAUGUAGAGAAGCUGCUAGUGCAUUCCUUGGACGCACAUCUCUAUUGCAGAAGCUUUGGUGAGCCUAUUUUUACAGUUUAGGCUUGUAUUCUCCAAUAAUUGAUGAGGUAUUUGACUGGCUCGUCCCUUCUUUGCCGAGUAUUUGUGAGCUUUACCAUGCUCACCAUACACCUUGUGCUAUAAAAGCAAUUUAGAAACUCGUGCUCCAAUUGCUCCCAGCUAUCGAUGGAAUUAGGCUCAAGGUCCGUAUACCAGUCAAAGGCAUUUCCCUUUAGGGAACGAACAAACUAUUUGACAAGAUAGUCACUGUAAGUUUCGACAUUGUUACAUGUCUCAACAAAAUAUGUGACAUGUUGUUUUGGGUUCCCUUUGCCCUCAAAUUGUUAAAAUUUGGGGGUUGAUAACCGGCAGAAAUUUUGAGGCUAUCUAUCCUUGCAGUGUAGGGCUUGGCAUACGCAAGGAAAGAUUUGGUGACAACAUCAUAUUUGUCUUUGAGGGUCUCUUCAAUGAAUUUCCUCAAUUGUCCAAUCGGGAUCAUUUUCUCAAAAGAAACUUGCACCUCUUUAGUUGGUGGUGUUUGUUUCACAGGAUUUUCUGUCUCAUGAACCUCUAGAGAUUUUUCAGGUUCAUGGCUAGACUCUUCGUCUAUCAUACUUUUCACCCUAUCCACUAUCUUAUCAAUUCGAGCAUCUUAAUUCUGAACAUAUUUGGUCAGGCCCUCAAUUGCCUUUGCCAAAUUCGCAAGCUGCUCUUCAUAAACGAGGUAUCAGUCACCAUUGCUUGCAUAAUCACUAAAGAUGUCGGAGAGUAGCACGGAUUAUCACACAAGUUGAUCUUUGAUGUGCUCAACUUAUGCGAUGUAGUCGGAGAUGAUGAGUUGCUCGAACGAUCAUCGCUCUUUGCGCUAGAGUGUUUAGAACCGGAAUGCUCAAGUAGAGCUAGAGUCUUCUUAAUCGAUUCCACCACACUGCUUCCUCCUUUCGAAGCACUUGCAUUGGACUUCAUUCCUUUUGGGGUUGAAGAUCCAAAAACUGGAGUUGGCACGGACGACACUGGAUGUGUUUGUUGUCCUAGCAAGCUGUUGUCCUAGCAAGCCUACCUUGCUCCUUGUGACAGCUCCUAAGCUUCCGAAAGUUGCACCAAGAAUGCUUUCUACUCCAGCAGAGAACUUUGAAUCAGCAACCUUGGAAGCAGUUGAUUGAGAAUUGACCUUCUUGAAAGUCAUUUCAGUGUUGUUGAACUUUGCAGUUGGAAAAGUUGAGAUGAGAGGUAGAGAUUGUCCCACUGGGCGUGCCAGAAUUUGUUGGACAAUAAAAUUUAGUGAUCGAAAAAUAAAUAAUUCGAGACAAGAAAAUAUUGUAACAAUCAAUUUAUUGAUUUCAAUGCAAGUGUUACAAUCUUUAUGAAUCCUCUGAUUCGCCUUUUCAAAUAUAAAUUCAAGGGCUUGAAGCUUGAUCUUGAAUUUAAACUUGAUUGCGGGUUUGAAAGACUUGAUCUUGACUUGUGCUUGAAUUCAAGAAUUUUUGAACUUGUUCUUGAAUCUUGAUGAACUUGAUUUGAAUGCUUGAGCUUUUUAGAGAAAUUGCGGCGUUUGAUCCAUGAAAUUUCUCUUGCCACUCGUUAGAGUUUUGGGUGGAUCCUUUUCUGAAUUAUGACACCCCUAUUUAUAGUUGUAGAAAGGGAAGAGUCAUGAUGAAUAUGACUUCCUUUGACCAAUCAAAUUCAAGUGGCAUGACGUCUUUUAUGGCUUUGAUUUUAUUGGGCCUGCUGCAUCAUUUUGACAUGUGGUACGGUCCUAUUGGCUCCUUCACUUGACUUGACAUGCCAUGUCAUUUGACACGUGACACUUAUUUGGGCCUCGAGAAUAUAACAAUAUCUUGGCCUUGGCAAAUUGGGCUCCUCAUUUGUGGCCCAAAUCAAUGGGCUAACCCAAUAAAAAUUGGACUUUAAUUAAAUCCUACAUGUUUGGACUUAAAUAAUAAAUUCAAUCAUAUUAAUUCGCAAUAUUUGAUUGGGAUUAAUAGAUUUUGAAUUUAAUCCAAAUUUCGUACGGAUUUAAAUUUAAUAAAAUUUUAUUGCUUACAAAUAUAAAUUUGGAAAAUAUACUUUGUUUAGUCAUUUAAUAUUGAGAAUAGUAUUGAAAAAAUAUAAUAAACUCUUCUUGAUUUUAUUAAACAGAAAAAUAAAUUGAAAUAAAUAUUUUUAGUAACUAAAAUGAGACGGAGUGAGUAGCAAACUUGCUAACUAUAAAAUUUAAUGAACUUCACGUGGUCGGGGCUCAUAGCUCCGCAACAUGAUUUUCGUUUGUCUUUUUAUUAUUGUGUCCCAUCUAAUAAGUAGCACCUUCCAAAAAUAGGACAGUAAAGUAGGCGAAUCGAAUAUAUCGAAGAAAACAUCAAAAUAGUCAAAAGUAUGGGCUCUUUUUUAUGCACUGAUAAAGGAAACUGAACAAAGGCAGAUGCAGAAAAUCCAGUUCCUUCUAAAAAUUGAGAUCCAGAAAUCGAAUUUCUCUGCCUAUUUCAUCAAGGUAAUGUCUUUCCUAGUACAAUUAAUUAAUUAUGUUCGAAGAUUAGUGUGUUCUGCUUUUGAUCUUGUGAUAUGAUUUUUAUUUCUGAAUUUCUGAUCAUAACAGCUUAGAACUGCUGCUUCCGUUCCAAUUUAAGUGGGUCUGUUUAAAAAAAUAGAGGAGACUUUUGAAUUUUGUGAGCUUAAAUUAAAAAUAGCAUAAUACUCCUUGGCUUUAACUUUUAUUUGUGUCUUUCAAUUCUAGGUGUGCACAAGUAGUCAUUUAAACUUGUAUAAAGUUAAACAACUAGAUACAUGUGUCCUAUGUGGCAUCCUACCAGACCAAUUUGUGUCCGACAUGGCAUCUUAUGUGUAUUAUGUCACAUUAGACACCUGUGUCUGUUUGUUCAACUUUAUACAAGUUUACGUGUCUGUUUGUGCACAUCCAAAGUUGGAGGUUAUAGAUGCGAGCUGAAGUCAAGCUAAAGGGCUUGUUUAUGUAUUAUGCCGUUAAAGAUAGGUGCAGUAGUUGUUCAAAUUUAAGACACUUGAAUUGGGAUGGAGGGAGUAGUAUGAAAUGAGCUCGAAUAUGGAGAGGAUUCAUAUGGAUUGAGGCUUAGUUGCUUGCUUGAUUGAUUGGACAUGCAGCACUAGCAUAACUUUUUCCUUUAUAUUAACAGGAUGGUCUAUUUUCAAAAAGUUCGAUUGAGCUGAGAACUGGAGAGGUCUUUUUAUUUUAUGUACCUUUGAUGGUUAGUAAAUGAAAAUUUAACUAUGUAUGCUUCUUGUUGGGCUUUAGCUGUUGUAUUGAUGGUCUUGGUAUGGAUUUAGAAUUCUCAUCACUGUGUUACCCUUUUAAAAUUGUCAUCCAUUUCGUGGUUAUUUCAGGGUUAUGCUGGAUAGAUGAACUCUAUUUCAAAAGGUUAGGCAAUGUUUAUCUUUCAAGAUUCGGCCACGACAUUGUCUUGUCCUUAGAUGUGGUUUCAUCAUUACAUAUCUUUGAGUAAAUUUUUUGAUUGAUAUCCUCAUCGAGUUCUUAUGGGAAACUCCUUUAAUCCCACACCUGGGACAAAGUCUACAGUCACAACUGCUAUCGCUACCAAAAAUGAAGCUAAACAGCACAUCAUUUCUUCUGGCUCGAACUCUUUUGCAAAUGUAAGACAGAUUGAUCUGAUAAAAUAUGGGAAGCAGAGAAAAGGAAGUGGUAAUCAGUUAGUUUUGUUUCUGGUUAAAGUUGCUGCCUUGGAGGCUGUGCGGAGGAUUUCAAGGUCCAAAUGCCCAUUGGUAUGGUCUGGCCUGCAAGCUCUGCAAAUUGUGUGCUACCCCCCAAUGAAAUGGAUACAAAGAUGGAACCCGUUUAGGGUUCUGAUUGAAGGCAUGCAGGUUAGUUUGCAGUUGUCAAAUUCAAAAGAAUUAGUGUUGAGUCUCAUGAACUCCUCUAGGUGCAUACAAUCACUCUGGAAAAUGUUGUCUUUCCUGUGUCAAUGGGUGCAUCAAUUUUGCAUGAUUGUGAAAGAAGUAUAUGAUCCUCUCAUGAACUCCUCUAGGUGCAUACAAUCAUUCUGGAAAAUGUUAUCUUGCCUGUGUCAAUGGGUGCAUCAAUUUUGCAUAAUUAUGGAAGAAGUAUAUGAUCCUAAUUCCUAUAUCAACUGAUAUAAGGGGAGUAUCUAGUGCUGCUUUUCAUUUCUAGGUUUAUACACCAAGUCGAGAGAAACAAAACAACACAACAUACCCAUUGUAGUCCCACAAAGUGCGGUCUGGAAGUCGAGAGAAACAACAUAAGACAAAGUAGAGUUAUGUGUGCAUAACGAUUUACAUAUUUAAUCCACUAAAUUUAUGAUUAAAAUCAAAGAUUAUUGCUUUUUUGAAUGGGACUAUUUUAGAGAUAAAUGUUGGUAUAUUGUAUAGGUUCCAUUAGCUUCAAAAUUAGGAUGAACUAAGCAUAAAUGUAUUCUGUCAUGGAAUGUUAACUGUAGCAUAUUGCAGGUAGCAAUACUCUUUUUGUGACAUAAUACUAUAGCCAAUUGGAAAGCUAAUUUAGUACUUAAAAAUUGUCCUUUGAGGCCCAUCUAUGUAUUAAGGAUCAAUUGAAUAUAGUUGAUAAAGAACAGAGGUAUAUCUGGAAAGAAAUAUAUUCUUUUUCUGUUUCUAUCAUGCAUCAGUAUAUUUGUUGAGAAAGUUUAAAUAAUACUAUACUUACCUUUCGUUCAGUGCAUGUAUCCCAGCUGCCAGGUAGUUGGUUCCUUCCCAAGUAAAGAGAAUGCUAAAGAUAUUUUUCCCGGUUCCUGAGAGAGUUCAAUGAAACAUACGAAUGUUUCUUUCCCUUGUUAUUCAAUCCAUGAACCCAUUUUAAUGUGAAGUUGAACUACAACCCUCACUUGAUGUUUCUACAGUAAGAGCAUGUGCGUACAACAUACCUAUGUUGUGUAUGUAACAGCUUCUGUGCAAGCAGAAUGGAUAUAUUACAUCUUUAUGUAGCCUCCCAGGCUUGUCUAUGUUUUUACUUUUUUUUUAUUUUCCCUUUUUUAAGCAAUAUCAAGAGGAAGUCCUUAUGCUCAUGCUAAGCCUACAGAAAACUUUCUCAGUUUGGUUUUAUAGCUCUGUACUUCAGUUUCUAGUCUGUGUCAACCAAUGACUACAUCCCUGAGUAAUUUUUCAUUUUAUACUGUGUCUAAUGUAAUUUAUAAAAGAAAAACAUGCUUCAAAAAUAGAAUAGAAUAAAUCACAGAUCCUGAAGUUAACGUGGUGUCUUAUAGUUACAACUCUUACACAUACAGUGUAACUUAAAGAGUUUUGAGCAUUUAUCCAUAUAUUGUCAAUUCAUGCAUUUUGUUUGAUUUUCCUGCUCAAUUUGGGAAUAUUACUGUCAUUGUUACAUACUCUAGACAUCUCUUUUCCUUUGAGCUAUCAUGCAUUGGCUGUCGUACAAUUACAAACUUACAGCAUGUCUUUAUGGUUAGAUCCUAUCGCGGCCACUGCUAGUGCUAUCUAUAGCUACAGCAUUUUCUGAUCAUUCAGAAUUCAAUAAUGCUACCUCAGAUAACACUCAAGUUUCCCCGGAAACCAAUGAUUCUCAUGCUGAUUCAGAAUCUCAGCUAGAAGUCUCUUCUGAGCAGUCUAUCCCAAGUGAAAGGUACAAAUUUGAUAUAUUCCCCAAAGUGUUCAAUCUGAAGCAGGACCCGACCAGUUCAAUAAACAAAUGUCUGAAAUUGUAAUUGUUAACACCAUAGAAAUUAUUAUGUGGGUAACUAAUACAUAUAUACAGUUACAGGCGAUUUUUGUCUUGCUUCCUUAUGUUGGAAAUAGAAGAUAGCUCUCAUAUGUUGCUGAUUUACUUGGUUAUAUUCAUAUAAUAUGCUAGAACUUCUUUCCAGCUUUUAGGCUAAUACAAGAUAUUUAGUGUAUGAUGUCUCAAAUUACAUGUUUCCUCUUCAAUUGCUUCUGGAUUUGUUUCUAUAAACCAUUGUUGGACUUAUUCCUACAUAUAAGCAACCAACCCAACUCAGAGCUGGGUUUUGAGACUGAAUUGGUAGUUGAUGAGUUGUACGACUUUCAUGCUUUUGCAGGGUUGGCAAUGAAGUUUCCCAAAGUCUGUCUUCCAGUAGUUCUGCAAGUUGGUUGCAUCAGCUUUACAAAGAUCUGGAAAAGCAAGGAAUUUUCUUGCCAGAGAGGUAUCUUUUUUAUGAAAACAAACUAUAACGGAACAUUACUUAUUCUAAAUCAUGAAAUGGAUGUUCAAGUACAAGAAUGGUGCCACUACAUAACGAGUUCUAAAUUAGUGUCAAGGCUACCAGUUCAUCUAUAAGGACGUUUGAAAACCUAACAGGAAAUGGAGAGAGUCUGUGCUCAAGCUUCUCUAGGUACCCGUUGAGCAUGAUUGUCUAUAAUAAUAAUAAAGCAUCAACACCCUAGAGUGACUACUUGGUCUCUCUUGAUAUCCAACCAAUACCUACAGGCUAUACUUAUUAACCUACUUAGGAAAUACUAGAGCUCACUUUCUAACAAUACUCCACUUUCCUCUUCAUUUUUAGCCAAUUAUCUCCUAUUCUUACCUAGUUUUAUGCAUCUUGUAUGAAAAUUCUUAAAAAUCCAAAUCUGUUUUUUUCUUUGAUAUCUAAUUUGAUUAUUUUGUAGUAUGUACUUAAAGUGAAUAAUUUGUCAUUGAUAACCGAGAAAUUACAUUGGGUACAUUGUUGUUGAUAACCACGAAAUUACUGAGGGCCAAAGGCGCAAGGUUCGACACUCUGCGUAUAAUGGGCCUUCCUGCCCUUUUCCACUUAAAUAUCAUCAUUUUGUCAGCGCCAGGGUUCAAACCAGUGAUGUAUGCCUAACCCACACAUCAACAGUUCUUUUUUAAUCUCGUGAGGUGCUUGAAUUGUUGCCAAGAACAGUUAUUGACUAGUCUUCUUUCAUUAUGUUGUUUCAUUCGGCAGUUUUACCUGUCGUCUUCUUUGUCCUCAUAUCAUAUGAGCUUUCAUUUCUCAUUUCAUUCAAUUUCAUGUUGAUCUGAAAGCUCUUCAACGCUUCCAUUCUAAUCAAAAACUUCUCAAGUGGUACAUAUUUAUGCCAGUAGAAAGUUGCACAAAGAUAUAUGUAAAAUUUAUUGGUUGUUCUUCUUGCUGUGAACAUGACACAAUAGUAUUUAUGCAGAAUUGAUGAAGAGGAACUCCAUCAAUUUUUUUCAGCUGCAGAUGGAGAUUUUUCUCGCUUUCUUUCUUCAGUGAAGAAGACAAUUCGUUGGAGGGAGACAUACAGAAUUCUUUCCAGACAAGAACUUGAAGUGUGGUCAAAUAUGGUCUUUUGGCAUGGAUUUGAUGUGCAGAGUCGACCAUGCCUCAUCGUCCGUCUUGGCUUAGCGUGCAUCAGCUUGCCAUCUCGUGACAGACCUUGCUUUGCGCAAGCAGUUGGUAUGCUUUUCCACUUGUACAUUUAGUAUCUGGCUAAUUUUCUUAUAUGAUUCCAGCCUUUACUGUAGUUAAAUGUAUAGCUUUCUGAAGUUUCUAUUCUGAUUUUCGUUUAUCAACGUAAGAAUCGGAAAUGUCACUUCGUUUUCAGCAGCUGAAUAAUUUUAAAGCUCUUUUGUGAGCUGUUUAUGUUUAAUAUAUGCAUGCAUUUCCUUUGCAUAUUGCUUCUGCUGGAAACAAAGCAAUGCUGGAGGUACUCUUUAUCUUUAUUGCUCAAUGUUGGAGGCAUCAGGACUUGGCACAUGUUUAUCAAAGUAAUAACUCCGUUUUAAGAACUUUAGCUAAGAAUAUCAUGUCAGGAAGCUUUUCCUACAUAUAAAUCAUGAGAGAAAAAGAUCUGGAAAAGAGGGAGUUACACCUAUCAAGUUGGAUAGUAGUUUAGGCAUUUAAUCAAUCGUCUAAUAAUGUGGGCUUCUCCAUGCUGCUAGUUCAUUGUUGGACAAAUUAUUAAACAAUGGAUAUUUUUUUAAUGAAGUAUCACAGGUAGAGCAUGGGGUUCUUCAUUUGAUGGACCCGCAAAUUUCUCAAAUUACUGUUGUGGUAGACUGUGAAGGACUAUCUCCACUGAGACUUCCCAUGCAAAUGCUGAGAUCCUGUUCUACUCUCUUGCAAAAUCACUUCCCCAACCGUCUAGGCUGCUUAUUCAUUAUACGCCUUCCACCUAUUGUUCGAGUUGUCGCACAAACCUUUGUGCAAGUAAGCUUUAUACUCUAAUUAUUAUUUUGUUCACUUUGUUGCCUCAUUCUUACGAUUGGAUGUCAGGCCAACUUGAUCUGCCUAGAACUCCUUUUAUGUAAACCCAAACGUAUAACCACUCUUGUACAAAACACACAGGUUUUCAAACCAGCCACUCGGCAAAAAUUGAGAUUUGAAGGGGAAAUGUACCAAAAGGUUCUUUCAGAGUUUUUGCAAACACUCCCAUCUUAUCUCGGUGGACAGUGCAGAUGCUCAAGAUGUGCUAGUUUUGACAUGAGCAAGAUGCAUAAUACUGGCGUGAAUGACCAUCCAGAGACAGUGAUAACUGAAAUUAUUAACAAUCCACUGGAUCUAACAUCGGUCCAUUCAGGUGAACAGACUGAAAUUCCAACGAACUAUAACUGUGACCAGGUCCUAAGAAAGGUUGUGAUAAGUAUCCUUUUGUUCUGGGUUUUGGUUGCUUUCAUUGCUGGAGUAUAUGAUCCAGAAAGUCGUCCCAUUCUACCUCCUUGAGCUCAUCAUAUUAAAUUCAUGAACUUCUCAUUGCACGCAUGUGUAGCUAGUAUUUUCUGCAGGGUAGUGGGUAUCUAUCCAAGUCCAAUAUUUGUCUACUGGAAUGGUAUGUUUUUUUGGUGCUUGUCCGUAAAAUUUCUUAUGCGUCUAAUUUUUCUCAUUUGAAACAGAAAUUUUGACAGUUUUCAGUGUAAAUUAUGCAAUAACAAAGUCGUGAAAAGACCAUCUUCAUCUGGUAUAAGCAUUGCCAAGUGCGCCAGGUUCCAUCACUUGUUUGCAUUUAGGUGCGCAUGGAGGAAAAUGUUGAAAGUUGGAAACAUGAGUCUCUAUGUGUGAAAGCUGAACUGAAGGGCAUAAAUCUUUUCAGUGUCAUUUAUAGUGUCUGUCUCAUCAUUUCCCCCUCUUAAAAGUAGCACCAUAAAUCAUCAUUUCAAAAGUAUGAAGCGUUGAUUUAAUUCAUCUUGUACACCAUUUAAAAGUAGGUGUUGCUAACUCAAUUCUGACACAGGUUUUUUCUUCUUUUGUCUUCCUCCUUUAUUCUUUAUAGUAUGAUUAGUUGUAUGUAAAGUAUGUAUACCGAAGCAAAAGAAAAACCCUCCUCUCUCAUACGUACCCACAAAACAAAGAAAAAAAAAAUGGUGGCUAAAUUUUAGAAAUAGCUACAUGUAGGCAAUAAAUGAGGCACCAACCAUAGCUAAAGUUUGUUGAUUAUAUGGCGUAGCUAAGCAUAUGCUAAAUAUACAAAUUAGAGAUUGAUUGUAUAUAUAAAUACAAAUUCGCUUUAUAUUUCACUUGUAUGCAAAUACAAACUUUUAGAUAUUAUAUAUGAGCCCUCGCUUUGUAUACAAAUACACACGUAUAUGAGACUCAAAAUAUAUAAUUAGUUAUCCAAUCUAAACCUUAGCUGCGUACCUUUUCGAGACUAUAUGUAUUUUUUGAUACUGUUUAGUACUUUACGUUGAAAUUAGUGGCUCCUAUACUGACCUAACAAGGUAAUGGGAUACUCUUUUGUGUACAUUAUAAGGUAAUAAACCAUUGUAUUUAUGUGUUCCACUGCAUCGCAUAGUUAUUGUAACUUUGAUUUUUUUCUAAUCCGCUUAAUUUUUCAAAAAGAAUCUUUCCACAGCCUACACCCCGGCCCAAAAGGUUCGAAAGAAACAUUUUCACCUUGUAAAAAUGAGAUGAGAAAUUUUUCCAUUUAAAUGUGGAAGUAUUCAUAAUCAGAAGGAAUUAAUUCAACAUUUUCUUUUUGCUUCCAUAUAUAAUCAGGUUGUGACAUAAUGUGGUGGAAUAAAUCAUGUCCUUGUUCCCUCCUAUUUCUAGCUUUAGGUGACAUGAUAAUAAGUGCCAUGACCCCAAAUAUGAAUUCAAUCGUUUGAAUCUGUCUAGAGGCCUAAUAUUCUACUCAUAUGUUAUUAAAUUUAAUACUUAUACAAAAAUAACGAAAAAUUGAAGCGUCAUUUAACAUACAUUUGAGUUUUAAGAUUUUGUUUUGUGAUUAAUGAAAAAAAAAAAAAAAAACCUUGAUCGAGGCUCAAGAGAAAUUCUUUGUGAGAUUAAAACCAUAUUCUAAAUGAUGCAGAGUUGAGCUACAAUUCCUCUGGUGUUCAAAGUUCAAACUUCAAAUAUCAUACAUUUGACGCAUGCAGAAUUUGGUGCAUAUUUCGCGCAAGUUGAAGGUCAUCCACUUUGAUUGACUCCAGUACUAUGUAUCCAAUUGCACUUUCUAACAAUUUUGGGAGUACUGCAAGCAAAUAAAAAAGUUGAGAAAGUAAAAGAUGCUGGGUUGUGGAUAGUGUUUAAUUUCUCAUAGUUCUUCUAGUAUUAAGUUUGAGUUUACCUUGCCUGUAGGAGUUGUUUGGUUUUUCUUUGGUAGCAUGUCCUGAGGCCUGAUAACUUACAGGUGCUCUUUAGUUUGUACAAAAUCAAAGAAAUUUUGGAGUAAUGAUAAUAUUUCACAGUUGUUACCAAAUUUUGUAUCGAAAUUCCUCGAAUUUUCUUUAUCAUGUUUUGGCCUAUGAGGGUGAAGGUGCAUGGCGUUUCCAUUUACCUACAUUUCAAUUCAAGGAAAGACACUUUAAUUACACUAUUUAACUUUGAAGUAUCUAGUUUAAAAUGUUCGUGUAGUACUAAAAAGCAAAAAGAUCAAAAGAUAAAAAGUAAGGUGGCUAAUGUCAAAGAAUAUUCAAAUAUUAAUGCUUACCAACCAUGCACUAAGAUUUCCUCAGUCAUCAAGAAAAUUAAAAUUAACAAAAGUCAAUAAGUACUAAUGAACUUGGGUGACCUUUCACUGUAUUGAUAAGCUAUAAUCCUUCUUCCAUCAUACAAAACCUAACUUUCCAAUUUUUUUCAUUUUCAUUUUUAUUUCAUGUUGUGUACUCCAAUAAAAUAGCUUAUUGUUACUAAGAAAAAAAAAAUAGUUUAUUUAUUUUUGUUUAGUUGCAUCCUCAUCAAGUUCCGGCCACUAAUAGGACAAUGUUGCAUUAGAAGUGCAAUGAACAAUAUUUGCCAUGUCCUAACUUCAUAUGUCACCAUCGUGCUCACAGGAACCAAAAAAAAUUGCUGUUUCUAAAAUGUUAAAAAAAAUAUAUAUAUAUCUUUAUAAAUAUGAUGAUCUAAUUGAGCACUUUUAUUUAAUUGUCUUAUGUUAACAAAUGAUUAGAAAGUUGAUUAAUGUUAACUCUAGUCUGUCAUCAUACAUAAAAUGAAGAAUUAAUGUCCGGCACUAUUUCUCCAAAGAAUUAAACUUAACUUAUUGAAGUCAAAAUUAAAAUAAAUACUACUCUCUCCGUUUCAAAUUACUUGUCUCCCUUACUACAAAUAAUUAUUUUAAUUUACUUAUCUAAUUUAUGAAAUCAAGAAACUUUACUAAAAAUAUUUUUCAUUUUAUUUCUAUUGUAAAUGAAUAACACGACAAGUAUUUUGAGACGAAAUGAGUUGUAUAAGACUCCCUUCAUUCCAAAAUAAUUGAAUUAUUGGGAUGUGCACACUCCUUGAGAAAAAUCUUUUAGGACAUAAAUUGUAGGUUACUUACCACUAUUACCCUUUUAAUUGUUCUUAAAUUACUCUCCUAGAAAAUGUGAAGUACUUUUAAGAAAAAGGAAGGUAAAAUUUUAAGAAAUUUCCAACAUGUCUCUUAAAGAAUGAACAAUUCAUUUAUUUUAUACAUUAAAAAAUAGCUCAACCAUUCAUUUAUUUUGAAAUGGAGGAAGUACAAAGUAGAGACCUUGACAUCCAUUUAAAAGGAAAAUGAUAUUCAUCUCUGGAUUCUCUAGUGCAAAAUAUUUUUCUCAUGUAUUAGCUACUUGCAGGGAAUAGAUUUUUAUUUUUUUUGGUAGAACUGUUUAUAGUAUAUUCAUGACAAAACGCAUUAUAUGAUAUGCUUUAAAAGACAAGUGUUAUUAUUUAUUUUAGCGUUUUUUUUUUUGGGUCCUUUUGUUUUGUAGUGCAAAAAUGACACUCAAUUUUGCCAUUAUCUCUAUCUUCUCUUCCUUAAUUUCCUUUUCCGGUCGAUGGCUGUUUAUUCCACUGCUGUGUAAUUAAAAUGGACAGAAUAAUAUGGUAUAAAUCUUUUCAAGUAUAUGUUUGUAUUGAUAGUAUAAUGAUUUUUUCCACCAUUAUUAUUAUAUGUUAUAACACGUUGCUUACCAAGGAAUACUGAUUAAUUAAAUAGAGUUAGUUAUCUGCAAUUAUCUUCUAACUGACUUGAUUGGUUGAUCGGUAUGAAUUCAUUCAUCCCGGCGUUAAUGUAGAGAAUUUAAACUCAGUUGAAAAAAGAACAUAACUUAUAAACACAGACAAUAUAAAUAAUUUUUAUACUAUUGUGUUUUAAUACGUAUAAAGGACAUAAGUGCUUGAUUUAAAAAUACAAAGAGUGUUUCUCGAAAUUGAAUCAUAUUACAAGACCGUUUAGGAUAAUUAACUAUACGCUAUACGUAUAUUUUUAAUCUUAAUUAAUACUCUUGAACAUUCUUAGUGAAAUUCUUAACUCUAUUACAGAGUAUAAUUAUAUUUGUCAGUUGUUGAAAUACUAUACCUCAGUAGAAAUUUUGGUAUGGUAUGAAUUUAUUUGUCAUCAAGCAGGACAAAUUCAAUUUCAAAAACUAGUCUAAAAAAGAUUUGUUUAGUGCUAAGUCAGAUUUACUCGAUGCCGCUAUUCUAGUAAUACCAAUAUGGUUUGGAAGCGGCAUCUUCAGAAAUAAAAUCUACAAUACAUGAAUUUGAAUUUAAUCAAGCCCUAAUAAUACAAUCCAAUACGCAACAUUCUUCCUAGACAAUAUAUGUAUGCUACGUAGCCCUGCUAAAUUCAAUCAGCUUAAUUUGUUAUUUUUAGGGAAACAUGAGGGAAAUUAAAGGGCUUUUCAAAAAACACAUUGCCAAUAAAACACAUAAAAAACCUAGCAAAUUGGAAGGAAAACGGAAUUAGCUAUAGUUUAUUAAUAGAGUUGCAUGGGAACCUACCAUUAAAAUAAUAAAAUAAUUACUAUUAAGCUGGCAGAUACCAAUUUCAAGGGAAACUAUAAAUAUAAAUAAUUCUUUUUGUUUUUGAUGUCAGCUUGUUAGAAUAAGGUUGGUAGGUCACGUAUAUGCCUUAAUUAGUUUUUUUCUUUUUCUGCCUUAAUUGAACUAAUUUGUUCCAUUUGCACCAAUAUAAUAUUACGCAAUGCUCCACCAACUAAAUAAAGAUUUAUGAUAUAAAUCAAAAAUAUAUAUGACAUGAGCUAUAGCUGUACCUUGUCUUUACAUAAAAUCUUAGGCUCUAUUUGAUCAUGAGAAAUAUUUAUUUUUUUUAUUUUAUUUUAUUUAAAAAAUAUUGUUUGAUCAUAAAAUUUUAAGUACGAAAACAAUCAUCAAUCAGUUUUCACUUUUUUCAUCUCAUUAUUUCACCUUAUUUUUUCAAAAGUCUUUUCAAAAAGGAUAUAAUCAAAUGCAGUUCAGCUUCAAAUAUUUUUUAUUUUCAUGAUGAAACCCUACUUAAUAUACUAUUUUAAACUCAUCUGUAUUUUAAUGCUAAAUAAUACUUCAUAAACCACUUCAAAAUGCCUUUGGGUUUUUUCUUUUAACGAAAAAAUGUCAUGACGUAGAAGAAGAUUCGACAAACUCUUUGCUUUACAGAAUGAAUUCGUUGUUACUUUACACGUACACGUUGAUUAUUGGAAACUUCUAUGUAGUUUUCUAACAAUAUAUAUAUAAUAGUUAUAAAGUUCUAUCCAUGGGAAAAAUAUAAAAAAUAUAUGUUUAUCGGAAGAAUACGAUGUGCAACUUUAAUUUUGCUUUAACUAACUUGGUGUGAUGUUUUAAAAAGCUACUACUAUUAAUAUUGUUGGAGUUUUUAGUUUGCCUAAUCCCGAUUUGACCCUUUCCAGUCUUCAAAGAUCAUUUCACAAACUCAAGGAAGCAUAACCUAACUUAUUAAUAUAGUGGAAAUCCUAUAAGGUAAACCACUCUUAUUUUACACAUAAAAUUCUUUUAUUAAAAUAUUAUGUACUGUUGCAUAGCUUUCACUAUUAAAAAACAGUAAAAAAUCUACCUCAAAAGCGAUAAAAAGAUAAAUGCAAAUUAACAUUCUGAGGUCGAUUUUCUUAAAAAAUAAAAAGGAAAUAAUUGCAAAAAUUGACCUCUUGUGGCCUUAUUUAUUACUAUUAUUAUUAUUAUUUUUUUUGCAAAAUAGCUUUUGCAAUUUUCAUGAUUUUUUUUUUUUAAACAUAGUCUUAUAUUAAUAAGCACCAAAGAUCUAGUGGUAGAAAUGUCUCUUACCACAUAUAAAUAAUUUUUUAUUUUUUUUUCAAAAUUCUUGCAAUUUUCAGGAAAAAAAAUUAGAAAAGUAUAAUUUCUUUUAAAAACAACAACAUAAGUCUUAUAUUAAUAAGCACCAAUGGUUUAGUGUUAGAAGUGUAUUAACCACAUUAACGAUAUGAGAGUAUGAGCCGCAGAAUAUCUUUUUCUUCGAAUCAGUAGGACAAGCUUAGCAGGCUUUUGGCCAUACAUAAUACAUCCCAAAAAAAAAAUUUACUUCGUUUGAAAUUUAUGGAGUUGUGUUUGACUAUAAUUUUUGCAAAGGAGAGAAGAUUGAGAACAUUUCAUUUGGAAGUAUAUGAAGAUGGAGUUGGAAAACAGUUUAUAAACUGUUUUUUAAAUUUGAAAUUUAACUUCAAGAUACAUUUGAAAUUUUCAUGAUCAAACAUUAAUUUUCAAAUAAAGUGUCUGCAAAAAAUGAAUAAUUUCUAUGGCCAAACGGGUCCGUAGUUUCUUGAUCUUCUUUUCUAAUUAGCAAUUAAUUGGAUGAUUAGCACAUUAAUCCCUUUAUGUCCAAUGUUUUGUGGAUAAUACUACUUUUUUUUAUCAUGAUCAGUAAUUAAAGUGCAAAAAUGGCUCUAAUAGUUGUUUUGUACUGAGUGCAUGAUAUUAUACUAUUAGAUUACAUCUUAUCUUUAAUAUUGUUCGUACUAGGACGUUUUGCAAUAAGAAUAACAAAGCUAGCCCAUGUGUUUAAUGCUAACAACCAAUUCACAGAAAACUAAUACAAAGAUACUAGGAGAUAAUUGACGAUCUAGGUAGAAUAUUAGUAGAAGAUGCCAAAUCUUUAGAUAUAGGUUUAAUAAUUUCAUUAAUCGUAAAGUAUAUCUUUAAAAUCUCUCUAUUUGUCCUUUUCAAAAAGGAUGAGCCUUCUUUUGCUGUGCUCUAUGUAAUAAUUAUGCAAAGAUAAUUACUAUUAAGCUAUUUAAUUUAGAACUAAACUAGAUUAGAUGCAACGAUAUUAUAUUAUAUAUCUACAAAAUGCUAUUAAGGAACUUCUCUCUACAGUUGUUGAAGUUGAUUAUUUGAUAAAAGUCCAAAAGUUAUUAGUAAAAUCAAAAUAUGCAGAAAAGAAAGAUAUUAAGAACCGUACUUAAAAGAAACUUUUUAAAGUCCUUACCCUCAUAAAUAUGUAAUAGCACGAGAGACAAGAGCAAGACAAAAAUAAUGUACAAAAUGAAAGUAAUGUUCAAUGGAGGUAAGAUUUGUAGAAUUGCUUUGUCAUCAUAUCAUGAUUUUCAUUUGAGUUAAUUUUUUUUUCUUUUUGGUACAUGGAAAAAACUAGAAGAAUCUACAAUCUUUUAAACGUGACUUGGCUUUGAUAAGAAACUCCGUAUCCUUAUUCGUAUUUCUUUAUAUUAUCAAAUCUUCAUUGUAUUUGUGUUCUCCAUCAUUGAUCAGAGAGUAAGCGCGUUGGUUUGCUUUCUCUCGUAAUAUGUUUGGCAGUGAUUGUCAUUCAAUAAAUAUAUGCAGUCUUCAAUAAUUGUCCUAAAGAGAUGAUGUUGGAUGUCCUCAUCCUCAAUAAGUUUAACAAUAAGGAGACAGUUUGUUUCCACAUCUACUUCUUCGUAUCCCAAUGUUUUAGCUAUCUUUAUUUAGCUAAGAUAAAUAUGGGAGAAAAAAUAAACACUGGUGGUAGUAUUAAGACACGAUCUAGAAAUAUUGCUUUUGAAGGAAUCUUCAAAGAUGAUCAAGGAAAAUGACCGGUGGAAUACUCAGGUAAAAUGAAACCCACAUCUAAUCUAGACACAGAAUUGUGGAGCAUUUCAUCUGAGUUAAUGGUUAAAGUACAUUUGAACUAUUAUGGCGAAUUUUACAUUUCAAAUUUCAAUUAUUAGUUGUUUAAUUUCUUUUUUUAUAUGAAUUAUCACUAUUUAUGUAUUAAAAUACACUUCAAAGUGUAUUUAUUUAACCUUUGUUUCUCUUAAUUUUUGUUUUAGGAAAUACCAGUUGUUAAUGGAGAUUAUAGUAACAUCAUUAGUAUUGAACCUUUCAAUUGCAAAUAUUCACAAUUGCAAGUACCAUGUCACCUGUACGGUAAUUAGGGACUGGGACUGUAAUGUCUUGUCCGAAUUAUGAUUUUGACAACUUUAAUUUCUAGCUUGAAUUAAAAUUAAAGUAGGAAUUUUUUUUGGUUUUCAUCCGGUGUCUGGUGUCCGUAUUGGAGCCCCGACUAAUCUGGAUCGCGCGUUGCAGGACCCAUUAAGGUAGCAGCGCUUCCAACAGAGUUUUCUCCAUACCCAGGGUCGAACCCUUGACCUCUGAUUAAGGAUGGAGCAACCCCAACCACUGUACCACCACAACCCAUGGGAAAUAAAGCAGGAAUUACUCCAUUGUGUUUAAUUAAUGGGUUUUUUUUUUUUUUUUGUGCUUCCUAUUUGCAUAUAUAAAUAAAAGGGGAAAUAGCACA